UUUUUUAUUAUUUUCAAUAUUCUGGUUUUAUUUUUAUUUUCUUUAAUAUUUUAUUUACUUGCUCUUUUUAAAUUCAACCCCUUAUAUUUUAUUUUAUUUUUAUAUUUAUUAAUUUACCUAUAUUUUACGCCUUAGACUUCAUUUUUUAUGUUAAUUCAAAUUCUUUUAGUUUCCAUUUUUGUUUUUUUCUUUAUUUUUAUUUCACCAUUGUUUUGUACUAUUCUUUUGCCUUUAUUUUUACAUUCAUGGCUUAUUACAACUGCUCAUUGUAUUAUUACUAUUAAUAUCCUUAUCACGUUGUCCUUCUUACACCAUCAAUAUUAUUUGUUAUUUUUGUCUUAUUUGUUCUAUUUAUUUUAUUUUCUGUUUAUAAUUUCAAACUAAAUUGUUUUAUUUAUUAUCUUGUUCAUCUACUUAUUUCUUUAUUCCUUUAACUUUUUAUACUAAAAAGUUCAUUUAUUUAUGUUUUUUAGAUGCUCUUCGAUUUUACUAUUAUUAUUA
rnacentral:lncRNA from 1 species